rnacentral:lncRNA from 1 species
GGAGGCUGGUGGGGAAGGAGCAGGGGAUGCCUUCAUGGGAGCUGCGCUAUCACAGUGGUGAGUCCUGAUGCCUUGCCUGUGAGGGCCUUCACAACCUUCAGAGCAUGAUGGCAUUGCCAGAGAGAAGAGAAUUCACCAUGGACACCUAGCCUAGUGCCUGGCAGAUGUUACUGUAUUGUGCUUGAGCCUACUCGCUAAUCACAAUUGGCCACUAGUAAUGACUGAAGAAGAAAAAAUGAAUUGACUUGAAAUCCCUUUGAUUGAAUGAUAGAGUUAUAAGAAGACACGAGGCAGAGGAAAACAAAGGAGGAGGAAAUGUGUAUGGCUUCAAGUUGACAAGGGGUGGACUUGUGAUCGUUAAUAUUGUCAACUUGAUUGGAUUGAAGGAUGCAAAGUAUUGUUCCUGGGUGUGUCUGCGAGGGUGUUGCCAAAGGAGAUUAACAUGUAAGUCAGUGGACUGAGAGAGGCAGACCCACCCUCAGUCUGGGUGGGCACCAUUCUCAACAGCCGCCAGCCUAAAAGCAGGAAUGGAAAGGGCAGACUUGCUGAGUCUUCCAGCUUCCAACUUUCUCCUGUGCUGGAUACUUCCUACCCUCGAACAUCUGACUCCAAGUUCUUCAGCUUUCGGACUCUUGGACUUACACCAGUAGUUUGCCAGGGGCUCUUGGGCCUUUGGCCACAGACUGAAAGCUGCAUUGUCAGCUUCCCUACUUCUGAGGUUUUGGGACUCGACUGGCUUUCUUGCUCCUCAGCUUGCAGACAGCCUAUUGUGGGACUUCACUUUGUGAUCCUGUGAGUCAAUUCUCCUAAUAAACUCCCCUUCAUAUAUACAUCUAUCCUAUUAGUCUGGUCCCUCUAGAGAACCCUGACUAAUACAAUAGAGUUAAAGACAAACUCCUUGUACUGCUUUAUCUCAGCUUACUGUAGAGGUCAUAAACCAGGGUCAACAGGCAGGAUUUGGCUCGCAGAUG